UACGUAGGUGGCAAGCGUUGUCCGGAUUUACUGGGCGUAAAGAGCGCGCAGGCGGUCGUGCAAGUCGCGUGUGAAAGCCCCCGGCUCAACUGGGGAGGGUCACGCGAUACUGCUCGACUCGAAGGCAGGAGAGGGAAGUGGAAUUCCCGGUGUAGUGGUGAAAUGCGUAGAUAUCGGGAGGAACACCAGUGGCGAAGGCGACUACCUGGCCUGUUCUUGACGCUGAGGCGCGAAAGCUAGGGGAGCAAACGGGG
rnacentral:rRNA from 1 species